CCAGCAUAAUUUCUUAUUAUUUGGAGGUGUAAUAUUGCUAUAUUAUAAACAAAGUGAGGAGUUGGAUGGUCAAAGGUUAACAUGAAUCACUAUUAGGAAAACUGUGGAUGACAGUUACCAUAUUUGACUUUGGGAAGAGUUGCUGCAACAGGUCUUUAAGGAAGAGAAAAUAUUGCAAACCUUUGCUUUGCCAUUGCUUAUUUAGUUGGAGUGGUAAUGCUAAAUGAUUAGGGAAGGAAACCGGCCGUGUGAUGCAUCUUUUAAGAAACAUCACCAAAUCACUGCUUUGAAGAGGGAGGUUAUGUUUCAGUAAUGUUCAUAAUAUCUCUUCAUUAAGUAUUAAGCUUAUAUUAUAUGUGUGGAUUCAUUCACUUACUGAGAAAGUGUUUGAAAGUUUUCAAUUAGUGAUGACAACAAAAAUCCCCACUCUUCAUUUUCAAUGACAGUCUUCAAUUUUCAAUGACAGUCUUCAGUGGUGUUUUGAAUGGACAGCUUCUCUUUUAAGCAAAAAAAAAUAAUCUAACCUUACUUUAAAUGCAGAUAAAGUCAGAAUCUUUCAAUCCACUUCUGAAUAUUUGUCAUAUAAAUUACAUGACAUCAUCAUACCUCAGGUUUCCCCAAGGAGAUACGUAGGUUGCAGUCAAGUCAUGCUUUGAUUUCUAUCCCUGAGAGUUGGCUAGAUGGGGUUUCACUCCUCUUACUGGAAGUUUUUGGAAACCUAUUCUCUACCUUUUCCAUGGACUGGUUUCCUGGUUUAUCUUUCCUCUCACUAUCCCCCUUUGAAGGGCUUCCAGGUAAUCCAUCACUCUCCCAGCCCCAAGCUGAGUGUCUCACAGGACAAGGUUUGUUGUCUGGGAUUUGGGUGUCUCACAGGACACUGCUGGGUACAGGGUUUAUUGUUGGGAUUUGUGUGUCUCACAGGACACUGCUGGGUACAGGGUUUGUUGCUGUGGUUGGUAUGAUGUGGCUAAGCUGUGGUGGGCCAGCUCUGGCCAAAUGUCAGGUGCCCACCUCAGCAGGGCCAGGCCACACUGGGCAGCAGCUGGUGGGGGGUGAUAAUGGGGACAUCUCUUACUGUGUACAGUCACAGGAGAAACAGAUUCCACAUGGGGAAAAUUGACUUCAUUUCUUGAUAAUUACAAGACAUUCGGGUGAUGAGAAGCAAAGGCAAAUGAACCCUGUUGCCGCCUGUUUCUGCCCCUUCAGCCUCACCUUGCCCCCACUCCUGGUGCCCAGCAGCAUUUUCCCGCCUCAGCCCGUGAGGCGCCACCUGAGGGGCUCAGAGGGGCAGCAGGAACCGGCCAGAACUGGCUGGAACCAGCCAGAACCAGUUGUCAGCCACCUGAGGCAGCCCUGCGCUCCCCUCACACAGACCCUCGGCCCUGCUGCUGCCCCAGGGACCUGCUGCUGCCCCACAUCCCACCUUGGCCUGUCCAGGCUGUGUUUGGAAGCGGCCCUGGACAGCUUGGAUACAGAAGACACUGCCAGUGAUCAGGGUGUCACCUUCAGCCAAAGAGACACGACACCUUGGGGCUCCCCUCAUGCCUGCAGGCCGGGGAGCUGAGAGCACACAGGGUGUGACAGGAAUGCAACACUGAUUUGACUCCGUGCUACAGUAAUUCAAUAACAACCUUCUCUGCCUAGUGCUGCUUCCAGAGAAAAUGUGUCUUAUACUCAGAUGUAAACAACGUUAUAUAGGACUUGGAGGGACCGUCUGGAUAGUCUUCAGUACAACCUUAAGACAAUCUACUUCACCUGUGAGAAAUAUUUGUGUAACCUCUUCUUAAAACCUUACACAAAGAUUCCCUCAACCAUUCAAAAAGAAAGCUGUGUGUUAGGCCCUGAACUGUACUUAUUCCAACUGAGACCUUGCCAGUGCUGAAGAAAAGAGAAUAACAACCUGCCUUAUUAAUGCAGGCCAUGAAAUCUGCCUCUUGCUCAUCAGCAGUGCUUUGCAAACUUCAGUUCAAGAUGGUUCUUAAUGCUUUUCUAUGUAUUGCUGCUUGACUAGUCUGAUGCUGUACUGCACAUUUGAUUUUGUCUUCCUUGGUGUAGGGAUUUGCAUGUGAUAAAACACUUUGAAUCAUGUCAGACAGAAAAGAUAUAUAUCAGAAGCAAAUAUGGCUUUGAAAGUCAGUGUAGUUUCUAAUGUACAAUCAGUUACUCAGUGAUAGCUGCUCCAGUAACAGCAGAGGUUUCAUUUCUGUUUGGUAGGUGGCAUGCGUUUUGUUUCUAACAAACACAAAUAACUGCAGUAGAUUCAUUUUCAGUGAGCCAGGAAGAAACUGUGACUUGUUGUUCCCAGCAUACACCUGAAGGUGGAUAUAUUCAUAUCCCAGACCAUAGCAAAUUUUGUGCAUUUAUUGGUACAGUAAUUUGGGGGUUUGUGGCAUACAGGAAAAGCCCAUGAGACAGGUUUUAUGUUGAUUAGUGCUAUCUUCUAAUUGGUUACAAUUAGCUAAAGUGGUUUUCAUUACUAGUUCUGACAUAAGCUUCUAUGAAUACUAAAACAUUAGCCCAAUGAUAUGUUCAGCUUUGUGACACAAAUCAGGGGAGAGAAAUUGCAGUGAACAUGGAGUAAUAUUUUACAUGUGGUUGAAAGAUAUUUUCAACACUUGAAGAAACUACAUGAGAUACCUUCAGACUUGCUUGAAUUUAUUGAUAUGUGAUCUCGAUGCAUGGAGCUUUUGUUCUGGUUUUGGGUAUAAAAACACCCUGGUAAUGUGCAGAUGUGGGUGUUAACUUCAGCCUCAGCUGCAGUGAUAGCAAAUAGGAAUAGGAUGGGCCACAAUAAUUUAUCAACAGUCUUGUUUUCAGUCUGCUGUUGCAGGCUGAAGGACCCCUUUGUUCAGCAGCAUAAUAACCAGCGGGCAGAUGACUUUGACUCUCUCACUCUCAGGGGCUCAUGAAUAAGACCUAAUGAAAAUAGCUGGGAGACAAGAGCGAGAGCUGCCUCCUGCUGCCAGCAAAGCCUGGCCUCUAACAUCCCACACAUCUGUAACAGGCCACAUCCACAGCACAGCACACAGAGCCAACAACUGUAAACAACGGUGUCGGAGCACAAUGUGGACUGUAUGCAUGUUUAUUCCACAUGAAUUAACACAGGCCUGUUCUUCACUGCAGCAGAGAAAAUAAAGAAAUUCUUUGUCACUUUGCAACAGCCUGUUUUAAAAACAGCGGUUUUAACUUAGGAUGUUUGGAAAUUAGAUAGCAGUGGUGAUGAGAGGAUCUCCCACAGUUUUGUAUUUCACUGUCAUCCUUAUUUCCUGGAAAGAUGGAGGUUAUCUAAAUAUACCACUCAUGAGAAAUGCAAAGGGCCGUAGACACAAGUAGAUCCAGUCAUAAUUUUUGGUGAUAGUGUCUUUAAAGCCUCUAACAGAAAUAUUUAAUUCCCU